rnacentral:ribozyme from 1 species
GUCUGGCGAGGAAAGUCCGGACAGCACAGAGCAGCGUACUUCCUAACGGGAAGGUGCUUUGAUCCUAGAUCAGGGUAACAGAUAGUGCCACAGAAAAGAUACCGCUCGCCUGAGCUUAGGCAACGGCGAGUAAGGGUGAAAUGGUGGGGUAAGAGCCUACCGGAUGUUUGGUGACAAAUGUUGCAGGGUAAACCUUACGUGCUGAAAGAUCAUGUAAACCACGAUUUUGGGGUUGCUCGCCUCAGUUCUUAGGACGUCGCGGAGGGUAGAUCGUUAGA